AACAAAUUCAGAACUAUUACUCUUGUCUUUUUAACAAAAAAACAAGAAUUAACAAAUAAAAGAGCGGCCAUUUUCUAGCCGUAGAAUUACCUUCCCGCAACUUAUCAGCCAUGGCGGUUGCCACAGUUCCUGUGAACACAGUGUGCGCAUGUCCACUGCGCUCACCGCGCAACUCAACCAAAUUUGUGUCCCAGUUCUUAACAAAAUGCUCAUCCUUCGAAUUAGGUUUUGAAUCUCUGCAACUGCGGACCACCCUACCCGCAAGAAAGCUUGUGGUUCGAGCAGCUAGAACCGAGUCCAAAGGGGUCUCUUUGGGCUUCCGAGCUCCCAAUUUUGAGAUUCCAGAGCCACUUACUGGGAACGUUUGGAAACUAGAGGAUUUUGAAUCACAUCCUGCCUUACUGGUGAUGUUUAUCUGCAACCACUGCCCAUUUGUUAAACACCUGAAAAAGGGUAUCGUGAAGCUUGCAAAUUUCUAUAUGAAGAAAGGACUUGCAGUUGUUGCGAUAUCUUCGAAUUCUGUAGCUACGCAUCCACAGGAUGGACCACAAUUCAUGGCAGAAGAAGUUAAGCUGUUCAAAUAUCCUUUUCCAUAUCUAUAUGACGAGUCACAGGAUGUCGCCCGGGAUUUUGGAGCAAUUUGUACACCCGAGUUUUUUCUAUUUAAAAAGGAUGGACGGAGGCCAUUUGAACUGGUGUACCAUGGACAGUUUGAUGAUUCAAGACCUAGUAAUAAUGUGUCUGUAAGUGGAAGGGACUUGAGCCUGGCAAUAGAUUGUGUUCUCAGUGGCCAACCGGUACCAUCGAUUCAGAAACCAAGUGUUGGAUGCAGCAUAAAGUGGCACCCAGAGAGAAAACUGUGAUAUGCAAAUCUUGGUUUCAAUUUUCUUGAGAUUAUAAGCUGAGAAAUAAAAAAACCCCAUGAACUCAUCGUAAAAACCAUGCAACUAAUUGCACCAACACAUGCAAAAUCAUGGACAUGGCCUAAAGCAGAAAAUGUUAUGGUUACCGUUCAAGUGGCACUCAUUUCUGUUAAUGCAAAGCUUUGGGUUGCCCUCAUAUGCAG